UACGGAGGGUGCGAGCGUUGUUCGGAAUUAUUGGGCGUAAAGCGCACGUAGGCGGUCCUUUAAGUCUCUUGGUGAAAUGCCGGGGCUCAACCCCGUGCCGGCCGGGGAUACUGGGGGACUGGAGACAGGUAGAGGCGAGCGGAAUUCCGGGUGUAGCGGUGGAAUGCGUAGAGAUCCGGAAGAACACCAGAGGCGAAGGCGGCUCGCUGGACCUGAUCUGACGCUGAGGUGCGAAAGCGUGGGGAGCGAACAGG
rnacentral:rRNA from 1 species